GGCCUCGUGGCCCAAUGGCAAGGCGUCUGACUACGAGAUAGAGUCAAUAUCCACGAUUGACUCUGCAUGAUAAUCAGGAGAUUCUGGGUUCGACCCCCAGCGAGGUCA